GACGAACGCUGGCGGCGUGCCUAAUACAUGCAAGUAGGACGCAGAUGCGAACGGGUGAGUAAAGCGUAGGGAACUACCUAUGAGAGGGGGAUAACUAUUGGAAACGAUAGCUAAUACCGCAUACUAGUAGACGGAACUGAGGUGGAGUAGCUAGUAGGUAGGGUAAUGGCCUACCUAGGCAACGAUACAAAGCCGACCUGAGAGGGUGCUCGGCCUCACUGGGACUGAGUCACGCCCCAGACUCCUACGGUGGUCAGCAGUAGGUAAUCUUCGGCCAUGGGGGGAAUCCUGACCGAGCAACGCCGCGUGAGUGAAGAUGUUUUUCGGAUCGUCACGCUCUGUUGUUAAGGAAGCGGUACUUAACCAGAAAGGGCCGGCUAACUACGUGCCAGCAGCCGCGGUAAUAC
rnacentral:rRNA from 1 species